rnacentral:rRNA from 1 species
UACAGAGGGUGCAAGCGUUGCUCGGAUUUACUGGGCGUAAAGCGUACGCAGACGGUUUGGCAAGUCGGGCAUGAAAUCUCUCGGCUCAACCGGGAGAGGUUGUCCGAUACUUCCAGACUUGAGGGCAGUAGAGGGUGGUGGAAUUCCGGGUGUAGUGGUGAAAUGCGUAGAUAUCCGGAGGAACACCAGUGGCGAAAGCGGCCACCUGGACUGCACCUGACGCUGACACGCGAAAGCUAGGGGAGCGAACGGG